UAAAAAUUAGUUAAUAUAUAACUUAAAUUUGUCAAAUUUAAAUAAUUUAAAAAAAUAUUUUUCA
rnacentral:tRNA from 1 species